rnacentral:tRNA from 1 species
CUGGUAGUAUAGUCCGGUCACACAAGGACGCAGCGCCUUGUGCGGCUGUCACCCGCACGACCCGGGUUCAAAUCCCGGCCAG